AGUGAACGCUGGCGGUAGGCCUAACACAUGCAAGUCGAACGGCAGCACAGUAAGAGCUUGCUCUUACGGGUGGCGAGUGGCGUACGGGUGAGGAAUACAUCGGAAUCUACUUUUUCGUGGGGGAUAACGUAGGGAAACUUACUCUACUACCGCAUACGUCCUACGGGUGAAAGCAGGGGAUCUUCGUACCUUUCGCGAUUGAAUGAGCCGAUGUCGGAUUAGCUAGUUGGCGGGGUAAAGGCCCACCAAGGCGACGAUCCGUAGCUGGUCUGAGAGGAUGAUCAGCCACACUGGAACUGAGACACGGUCCAGACUCCUACGGGAGGCAGCAGUGGGGAAUAUUGGACAAUGGGCGCAAGCAUGAUACAGCCAUACCGCGUGGGUGAAGAAGGACUUCGGGUUGUAAAGAAAUUUUGUUGGGAAAGAAAAGCAGGAGGUUAAAACCCAGAUGUAAUGACGGUACCGAAAGAAUAAGCACCGGCUAACUUCGUG
rnacentral:rRNA from 1 species